rnacentral:rRNA from 1 species
GUGAAGCUGGAUUCGCUAGUAAUCGCGCAUCAGCCAUGGCGCGGUGAAUACGUUCCCGGGCCUUGUACACACCGCCCGUCAAGCCAUGGGAGCCGGGGGGUGCUUGAAGUGCGUCGCCGCGAGGCGCGCCCUAGAGCAAAACCGGUGACUGGGGCUAAGUCGUAACAAGGUACC